AAAGGAAGAUUAAUACCGCAUAAUGUUGAAAGAUGGCAUCAUCAUUCAACCAAAGGAGCAAUCCGCUAUGAGAUGGACCCGCGGCGCAUUAGCUAGUUGGUGGGGUAACGGCCUACCAAGGCGACGAUGCGUAGCCGACCUGAGAGGGUGAUCGGCCACAUUGGGACUGAGACACGGCCCAGACUCCUACGGGAGGCAGCAGUGGGGAAUAUUGCACAAUGGGGGAAACCCUGAUGCAGCAACGCCGCGUGAGUGAUGAAGGUUUUCGGAUCGUAAAGCUCUGUCUUUGGGGAAGAUAAUGACGGUACCCAAGGAGGAAGCCACGGCUAACUACGUGCCAGCAGCCGCGGUAAUACGUAGGUGGCGAGCGUUAUCCGGAUUUACUGGGCGUAAAGGGAGCGUAGGCGGAUGAUUAAGUGGGAUGUGAAAUACCCGGGCUCAACUUGGGUGCUGCAUUCCAAACUGGUUAUUUAGAGUGCAGGAGAGGAGAGUGGAAUUCCUAGUGUAGCGGUGAAAUGCGUAGA
rnacentral:rRNA from 1 species